rnacentral:rRNA from 1 species
CCUACGGGUGGCAGCAGUGAGGAAUAUUGGUCAAUGGGCGGGAGCCUGAACCAGCCAAGUCGCGUGAGGGAAGACGGUCCUAUGGAUUGUAAAUCUCUUUAGGCGGGGAGCAAUGCCGGGCACGCGUGCCCGGAGGGAGAGUACCCGCAGAAUCAGCAUCGGCUAACUCCGUGCCAGCAGCCGCGGUAAUACGGAGGAUGCGUGCAUUAUCCGGAUUUAUUGGGUUUAAAGGGUGCGUAGGCGGAUUUUUAAGUCAGCGGUAAACUGUGCGGGCGCAACCCGGGUCAGCCGUUGAAACGGGGGAUCUUGAGUGGGCGAGAAGAAUGCGGAAUGCGUGGUGUAGCGGUGACAUGCAUAGAUAUCACGCAGAACUCCGAUUGCGAAGGCAGCAUACCGGCGCCCGACUGACGCUGAGGCACGAAAGCGUGGGGAUCGAACAGGAUUAGAUACCCGUGUAGUC